UCGCUCCUACCGAUUGAGUGUUACGGUGAAUAUUUCGGACUGCAGCUUCGUUUGGACCCCGAACGUUGCAGCGGAAAGUCUCGUGAACCUUAACACUUAAGAGGAAGGAG
rnacentral:rRNA from 1 species